GCUUUGGAUCGGGGAAGGAAAGACAUAGAAUUUGGAUUUUUCUUCUUCGUAGAAUUUUGGAAAGACUGAGGCAAUCGCUACUGAAGUCAGUAUUAUAAUGGUGAAUCGGGAUUUUUAAUGAAGUGGGUUUGAAUACUCUUGACUGUUUUGUAAAAUCGAGUUACGUCUGUGAUUGAAGGAUUAAAAGGGCGUCUAUAGGAUUGAGUAUGCGGAGUGAAUGAAAUUUAUUGGGUUAAUC
rnacentral:lncRNA from 1 species